rnacentral:lncRNA from 1 species
AAGUACCGUACAGUACUUGGUGAUGGCAAAGCACAGCAUAUGGGAGCUCUUUUUCAGAAUAAUACAAAAAAAAAAUUAAUUAUAUAAAUAAUUCAAAAUUUAACUUUUUUUAUCAAAAUAAUGCAAAAGAAAAAAAUUUUAUUUUGAAUGACGUUUUCUCCCUGCCACGUCACCCCUUUUUUCCACGAUGGCAUCAUCUCAAAAAAAAAAUAAAAAAUAAAAUGCCAUUCAAAAUGGUGUUUUUUAUUUUUCCCACCAAAAAUAAAAGGGAAAAAAUUGAAAAAG